rnacentral:rRNA from 1 species
AAAUUGAAGAGUUUGAUCAUGGCUCAGAUUGAACGCUGGCGGCAGGCCUAACACAUGCAAGUCGAACGGUAACAGGAAGCAGCUUGCUGCUUCGCUGACGAGUGGCGGACGGGUGAGUAAUGUCUGGGAAACUGCCUGAUGGAGGGGGAUAACUACUGGAAACGGUGGCUAAUACCGCAUAACGUCGCAAGACCAAAGAGGGGGACCUUCGGGCCUCUUGCCAUCAGAUGUGCCCAGAUGGGAUUAGCUUGUUGGUGAGGUAACGGCUCACCAAGGCGACGAUCCCUAGCUGGUCUGAGAGGAUGACCAGCCACACUGGAACUGAGACACGGUCCAGACUCCUACGGGAGGCAGCAGUGGGGAAUAUUGCACAAUGGGCGCAAGCCUGAUGCAGCCAUGCCGCGUGUAUGAAGAAGGCCUUCGGGUUGUAAAGUACUUUCAGCGGGGAGGAAGGUGUUGCGGUUAAUAACCGCAGCAAUUGACGUUACCCGCAGAAGAAGCACCGGCUAACUCCGUGCCAGCAGCCGCGGUAAUACGGAGGGUGCAA